GACGAACGCUGGCGGCGUGCUUAACACAUGCAAGUCGAACGAAGUGGCGAACGGGUGAGUAAUACGUGAGUAACCUGCCCUCCUUUUUGGGAUAAGCCUUGGAAACGGGGUCUAAUACCGAAUAAAGGGGGAUGGGCUGGCGGCCUAUCAGGUUGUUGGGGGGGUGAUGGCCUCCCAAGGCGGUGACGGGUAGCCGGCCUGGGAGGGUGACCGGCGAAAUUAGGACCGGGAUACGGCCCAGACUGCUGCGGGAGGGGGCAAUGGUGGAUAUUGCACAAUGGGCGGAUGCCUGCUGCAGCGGCGCCGCGUGGGGGAUGAAGGCUUUCGGGUUGUAAACCUCUUGCGCUAACGAACGGGUAGGUGGAGAAGAAGCGCCGGCUAACUACGUGCCAGCAGCCGCGGUAAUAC
rnacentral:rRNA from 1 species